CUCGGUGCUCAUAAUCACCCCACGGCCCCAGGACCACGGCACCAACCUGACCUGUCAGGUGAAGUUCGCUGGAGCUGGUGUGACUACGGAGAGAACCAUCCAGCUCAAUGUCACCUGGAAACAAGAGACCAGAGCAGGAGUGGUUCAUGGGGCCGUUGGAGGAGCUGGUAUUACAGCCCUGCUCGCUCUUUGUCUCUGCCUCAUCUUCUUCAUAGUGAAGACCCACAGGAGGAAAGCAGCCAGGACAGCAGUGGGCAGGAAUGACACCCACCCUACCACAGGGCCAGCCUCCCCGGUACGUUGAGGCCAACAGAUCAGGAGAUGAUGGCCAUUGAAAAGAUAGUUUCUUGGCCGGGCACAGUGUUUCACACCUGUAAUCCCAGCACCUUUGGAGGCCAAGGCGGGCGGAUCACGAGGUCAGGAGAUCGAGACUAUCCUGGCUAGCAUGGUGAAACCCCGUCUCUACUAAAAAUACAAAAAAUUAGCCAGAUGUGGUGGCUGGCGCCUGUAGUCCCAGCUACUUGGGAGGCUGAGGCAGGAGAAUGGUGUGAACCCGGGAGGCAGAGCUUGUAGUGAGCCGACAUAGCACCACUGCACUCCAGCCUGGGCGACAGAGCGAGACUCUGUCCCAAAAAGAAAAAAAAAAUAGUUUCUUAUUCACCGUUCCCGAGAGGGCACACCACACCAUGCAAGGCCAAAUGGAGAAGCACCAGGGUCAGUCAGGAAGCAGAGGGAGCAAGGAGAAAAUGGGAGAAGAGCCUUCACUGUGGCUUUCAUGGAAAAGAAUGGGCAAGACAGGGUAAGCAAGCUAGGCAGGUUUAGGAUUGGCUACUUAGAACAAUUUCAGCAGACUCUGGGGUAUAGGAGUUGUCUCUAGUUGUCUGGUACAUGGCCCUGGGUUUAUUAAGGAGGAUUGUGGUCUGGAGUGUAAGAGCUCAAUAAAGGAUCCAGCUGGUAGUGUGGGCUUUAGAUUGACUGGUUUGCACAUGAAAGGUGCACUUGUAUGCAAGUCCUUUAUUAGCUCUAGAAAUCUACUAUCCUUGGGAAAGGCAGUCUCUCAAGGGUCAGCAAUGCCCCAGAUGUCAAAACAUCAGAAACACUUGGUUGACACACCCCUAAACAUACUUCUCCUGAUGGGUUCUCCAUCUCACUAAUGGCACUCUUGUCCCCAUUACCCAACCACAGACAUGGCCCCCUCCUGUCCCAGUCCUCCAUCUCUUCCUGUGCCAGUAUGCUACGAUGCAUGUCUGAGCUUCCUCUGAACAUGGCUUAACACAACCACUCCUUCCGAGCCGAGAGCCCCUCUUACUCCUUAUUCUGCUGCAGCCUCACCUCCCAUUUCUCCUCUCCAGAACAUUAGCAUCACCUCCCUAAAAGGUCAUUGUCCCAUCAUUCCCAAGUUUGAAAUGCACUGCUUCUCUAUACUCCUGAAAGAUUGGCAUUCCAACAACUUGGUCUGGCAUUUGGAGCAGGAAAACCAGAGUCCCCUUCAGUGCUAUGCUCCCCCAACAUUAGCCACUCAAUCACCUCAAGCAGGGCAAGCUUUUUCAUCUCAGAAUCAUUGCUGGGCUGUCCCCUCCUCCUCAUAUGCCUAAUAGCUACCUGCCCAACUCCAGUGCAUCCUUCAAGCUCUGAUUUUUUUUAAUUUAUUUAACUCUGACUAAAGUGAACACCACAGUAAAGUUUUUGAACACAGGGUCAACCAGCACCCAUUCAUUCUGAAAUAUCUAUAUAAUCCCAUUUGCCAAUUGCUCUAGGUCCUUGUGCCAUUCUGUAUUUUUAUAAACACACAGUUUACAAAUAUAAAAUAUUCCUCCUAUCGGGGGCUUAACAUUUAUUGGGGAAAGGGAUGAAAAUAAUGAACAAAUAAGUAGUGCAAAUAUACAUGAAAUAGGCAUGAAAUAAGUGCUAUGGCAGGAAAUGAAAUGGGAGAACGGAUUGGACAGUCCUGGGGGCCACAGAAUGGCCUUUGGGCAAACACCUGCAGAAAGAAAGUGAGUACAGUAUGAGCAGUAGAGAAUCAUCAAGGAAGCAGCAAGUACCAUGGCUCUGAGGCUGGAACACAUCUGAUGUUUUAGAGAAACAAAGUAGGACAGUGUGGAUAAGGCAGAGUUACGUGUUGGGGGUGGAGUGUGGACUGAACAAUGGUAGGUAGGAAAUGAAGUUGAAGAGACAUAGGAGCUGCAAAUAUUGCAGGAUCCUAAGUCCAUCAUAGUUAUUGAUGCGUUUAGAGCAGAAGAGUGACAUGAACUGACACUCAUUUUAGUGGGAGUCACUCUGGCUGCUCUGUGAGAAACUCUAGUAUGUAGUAUAGAAGAGAAGAUACCAGAAUAGAAGAUACACAGAUAAUCAAGCCAAGAGAUGACUGACUCAGACUUAGUCCCAAGUAAGAAUAAUGAAUCUGAUGUGGAGAAAUUGGGUUCUGGAUACAUCUUGAAGGUGGAGUCAACAGUAUUUGCAAGUGGAGUGAUGGAGUGCAUGCAAGGCAUGAGCAAAGAUAGCUCAUGGGCUCUGCUCGAUAAGUGUCUCAGAUGUCAUAGGUGGGUCCACAGAUAUCAUAGAUGUCAUGGAUGUCCAAGAAGACCCCAUAGAUGUCAUAGAUGUCUAUAGAUGCCAAUGAUGAUGUUCAUGUGGUUAACUCAGAAUUCAUACUUAAAAAAUCAAAUUGCCAAUGAUUAAAAUUGCCAUCCUUGAAGGAGAAGUCUAUUUUCAAGUGUAUAUCAAACAUUAUUUUGGUUACCGUAAGUUUGAGGUGCCUCUGAGACAUCCAUGUGGAGAUGACAAGUAGCAGGCAAGUGUCUGGAGCUCAGAAGACGGAUCCACGUGGGAGACACAGAGGUUGGGAGCUUCCCUAUCAACAUCCAAUAAUCGAUGAAUCUACAAAGAAGAGAAGGGGUCCACAGACACAGCCCUGGAACCCUCCAGCAUUUAAUGUUAGGGAGAUGAGGUGUAAAUGGUGAGAAAGCUGAGAAUGAAUAGGAGCCAAUGACCAGGAAAUUGCAGGCUGUAGUGUUGGUGGCCAAGGGAAGAUGGGGCUUCAUGGAGGAGAGGUUGGUCAUUUGUUUCAAAUGCUGGUAAGUCUGGUAAGAUGGAAUCUGAGAAAUGGCUAUUUGAAUGUAGCUAAGUGGUAUGACAGCAAAGCAGAUCUGAUUUUUCUGCUGGAGGAAGAUCUCUUGACUAGAGAGAGUUCAAGAGAGAAUGGGAGGAGAAGAGGCAGAAACUGUGAGUUGAAGGACUCUUUUGAGAAACACUGCCUCAAAUCUAGAACCAAGAAAUGGGCCUGCACCAGCAAAUGGUUGUACCCUGUAGACUUGCCAUUUCUCCAGCAUCUGCUCCUGUGUCUCUUAUGAUACCAUGUUCCCUGUUUGUGUAGGGCUUUGCACCACUUGAACUAACUGCAUUCCCAUAGCUUCCCCUACCACACCAUGAGCUCCACAAGGAAAAGGCUGGGUUUUAUUAGACCUCCAUCAUUCUACUCUCUCCUGUUCAUCUGCACACUGUCACAAUUUGCAAUUACCAGUCUGUUUCUGUCUUCAUCCCCUGCAGUACUGGAAAUCACAGGGCCCCUGCUCUGCUCUGAUCCCUCCUGAGGAUCCAGUGCCCAGCACAUAGGAGGUCCCAGAGACCUGGGACCGAGUUCAGGGUCAACAGAUGUGUGACUUUGGAAAUUACCUAAGCUCUCUGAGACCUAGUUUCCUGGUCUGUAAAAUGGAUUAAAAUAAUAGAUGCCAAAGACGAUGUCAGUGUAGCUGCCCAGAAUUUUUCCACAUUAGUCUCUGUGAGUAUUCAAGAGAAUUGGGAAUCAAUCAAUACGUGCUACAUGUGUUAGAUAAUGAAUAAGUAGAGCCUUAAUUAAUUAACAUUUGAUGAAAGAAUGAAAGAGUGAAUAAAUGUUCUGUCAGAGUCAAAUUUACUUCAUUGACCCUCUUUGCCUUCUCCUGGUCCCCCUCCUCACUGCCCUGCUCUAACCCCCUUCUUUCCUCUCCAUAAGAAACACCAGAAGAAGUCCAAGUUACAUGGCCCCACUGAAACCUCAAGCUAUUCAGGUGCCGCCCCUACUGUGGAGAUGGAUGAGGAGCUGCAUUAUGCUUCCCUCAACUUUCAUGGGAUGAAUCCUUCCAAGGACACCUCCACCGAAUACUCAGAGGUCAGGACCCAGUGAGAAACCCACAAGAGCAUCAGGCUCAGCUAGAAGAUCCACAUCCUCUACAGAUCCCAAUUUAGGUUCCUCUGCCUGUUCCUCUAAGAGGCCACUGUUUGAACCACUUCCUGAAUCUGUAGCCAAAAAUUGGAAGCAACCCAAAUGUCCAUCAACUAAUGAAGGAAUAAACAAAAUCUGGUACAUUCCUGCAAUGCAUAUCAUUCAGACAUAAAGAUGGACCGAAGUACGGAUACAUGCUACAACGUGUAUGAACUUCGAAAGCAUCACACCAAGUGAAAGAAGCCAGACACUAAAGAUCACGUACCAUAUGAUUCCAUUGAUAUGAAAUGUCUAGAAUAGGAAAUAUAUUUCUGGAGGCAGAAAGCAGGUUGGUGGUUGCCAGGGGCUUCGAGGAGGGCAGUGACUGCUUAGUGAGUACAUGCUUUCCUUUUGGGGUAUGAAAAUGUUUAGAACCAAACAGAGGUUGUGGUUACACAACGUUGUGCAUGUACUGAAUGCCACCGAGUUGUUCACUUUAACAUGUUCAUUGUAUGUAAUGUGAUUUUACAUCAAUAAAAAAAAAUAAU
rnacentral:sRNA from 1 species